AUGCCACCACCAGAUGUCUCUGCAGCAGCAUAAACAAAUUGGCGGGCCGCACGAACUGAAUCAGUUUGACAAAGUGGCUGAAUUAAACUUACAUGCAAGUGCAUGCCAGCUGAUAUAGGUAGAUAGUACCACUACGACGACUUGAGAAAGCCAGGGCCCAUAGACAAUAAGGCGUGAAGGAUUCCCUAGAGUUACCCUUUCCUUGCUGGAGGACCUCUACCAUCGAAAGAAAAGUAAUGGGUGAUGUUAGUACAAUAAGUGUUUGAGGAACAGAUAUUCAUGGAUGCGACUUUAAUUGUUUGUGGAGGUUGAGGCAUGGCUGAAUUGUGUCAUGGCAUCUGGUUGAAAAGGUGGAACUGUACUACAGUCAGUUUUUGGCAGCUGUUACCGCUUCAGUGAAAAUUAUGAGGAAGAAAUCAAUGACUCCACAGAGGAAGGGAGAUGGAAGUGUGUG